GAUGAACGCUGGCGGCGUGCUUAACACAUGCAAGUCGAACGAAAAGACCCAAAGUUUCUUCCGUUCUCGAGUGCCGAACGCGGGAGUGUCACGCGUGGAUACUGCCCUGAUAUUCCGGGUAAAACUUCGGAACUCCGGAUCAAACCGCAUAGGAUCAAUUCUUCGGUGUGGUUCUGUAGAGAUUUUUGGUUUUGCGGUGAGCUCGCGACGUAUCCGCGUUGUAGUAGCUUGUUGGCAAGCUAACGGCUUACCAAGGGGCCGAGGCGUAGCCGGCCUGAGAGGGGGAUCGGCCACACUGGAACGGAGACACAGACCAGACUCCUACGAGAGGCCGCAGUCGGGAAUCGUCCGCAAUGGGCGAAAACCUGACAGAGCAACGACGCGUGAGUGAUGAAGGUCUUCGGGGCGUAGAACUCUGUUGGUUGGGAAGAACAAAUGUGUAGGGAAGAAUCGACGUUGUGACGGUACCUGAAGAAGAAGCAACGGCUAACUACGUG
rnacentral:rRNA from 1 species